rnacentral:lncRNA from 1 species
AACAAUAAAAAAUAUUUUUACUAGGAAAAAAGAUGAAUAUUAUGUAGUAUGCCAAAAAGAACAUGUAAUAGAUUGCAGAUAUGCAAAAGGAAAAGCUAGUAUACCACUGGUAACAAAAAGAAUAAUUAAUAAAGAAAUAAAUGAUAUAAAAAGUAAAGGAGAUCCAAUAAAAUAUGUACACCUUGGAGGUACAGAGAUAUUAAUAAAAGCAUGUUUUAGAGAAGGAAUAGAUACACCAAUAGAAUUAUAUUUAGCAGACGAUAGAAUUAUAAAACCUAUAGAAAAAAGCAUAAUAACUGCCGUAAAAGGAAAUCUAAUAUACCAAAAAUUUAAAUUUAUAAUAAGUGCAAAUUAUUCAGUAGCAGUAACAGAUAGGAAUAUAGAUAAAUCAUUAGUAUUAUAUUGGAAAAUAUCAGGAAUAGAAUUAACCCCAGGAAGUAAAAUAUUUACAGCAAGAUGUAAAAAUCUAUAUGUAUUAACAACAAAACAUAAAAUAACAGGAAAAAAUAAGAUUAACAAAAUACAAAUAGAAAGCCCAUUCGAACAAAUAGUAAAAACAAUAGAUUAUAAUGAUUAUACCUAUAGAGACAUAGAUACAGAAGAAAAUUUAGAAAUAGUAAAUGAUAGAAUAAGUACAACGAAAAGAAUAGCUAAUGAAAAGCCAGAAUCAUCAAGCUCAUCAAAAAGAACAAGUUAUGAAACAAACUCAAUAAGUAAUUUAAACCAAUAUUACAUAACAGGAAAAAUAAAUGAAAAAGAAUAUUUAAUACUUUUGAAUACAGGACAAGAAGAAAAUUAUAUAGCAAAAUAUCUAGUAAAAAAUGAAGAAAUAAAAACCGACAAUAAUAUAUGCCCAGACUUACCAAGAAGUUUAAUAAAUAAUAAAAAUCUAGCAGAAAAAGAAAUAAUAUUAGGAGUUAGAAAAAUAAAAAUAGAAUUCGAAGUAAAGGAAGAAAUGCAAAAAGCAGAUAUAAUAUUAGGAAUAAAAUGGUUGGAACAAGUAAAACCAUAUAAUAUAGAACAUACACAAUUAACCUUAACAUAUAACCAAGAAAAGUUAUUCUUAAAAAGAGCCUUAACAUGAAAUGAAGAUACAUGUAUUAAUGAAGAUAGUAGUAGAAGGAUAUUACAGUAGAUAUUAUACGCCUAUGAUAGAUACAGGAGCAGAAGCUAAUUUAUGUAGAUAUAAUUGCUUACCAGAAAGCAAAUGGGAUAAACUAAAAACACCAAUAAUAGUUAAAGGAUUUAAUAAUGAAGGAAGCUUAAUUACUUAUAAAGCUAGGAAUGUAAAAAUACAAGUAUGGGAUAAGAUAUUAACAAUAGAAGAAAUUUAUAACUAUGAAUUAACAUCAAAAGAUAUACUUUUAGGAAUGCCAUUUUUAGAUAAAUUAUACCCACAUAUAAUAACUAAAACAGACUGGUGGUUUACAACACCAUGCAAACAAAAAGUAAGAGCAAAAAGAGUUAAUAAUAAAAUAAGAAAGAAAACUGAUUGGAUAAAAGGAAGUGAAAAAAUUACACAAAAGUUAGAAAAUAUAAACAAUACUGAAGAUACAGUAGAACUAGUAGUAUUUUCGAUAAAUAAAACAGAAAUAACUAUAUUUUCAAUAAAUAAAAUAGAAAUAAUUCAGAAAAAAUUAGAACAAUUAUAUAGUGAAGAUCCAUUAAAAGGAUGGGAAAAACACAAAACUACUAUAAAAAUUGAAUUAAUAGAUAAGAAUAGCAUAAUAACACAAAAACCAUUAACAUAUAAUUUUGAUGAUUUAAAAGAAUUUAAAAUGCACAUAGAUGAAUUAUUAGAAAAACAAUAUAUACAAAAAAGUAAUAGUAAACAUAAUAGUCCAGCAUUUAUAGUAAAUAAACAUAGUGAACAAAAAAGAGGAAAAAGUAGGAUGGUUAUUGACUAUAGAAAUUUAAAUGCAAAAACUAUAACAUAUAAUUAUCCGAUACCAAAUAAGAUAUUAAAAAUAAGACAAAUCCAAGGAUAUAAUUAUUUUAGCAAAUUUGAUUGUAAAUCAGGAUUUUACCACCUAAAGCUAGAAGAAGAAUCUAAAGAAUUAACCGCAUUUACGGUACCACAAGGAUUUUAUGAAUGGAACGUGUUACCAUUUGGAUAUAAAAAUGCACCAGGUAGAUAUCAACAUUUUAUGGAUAAUUAUUUUAAACAAUUAUCUAAUUGUAUAGUAUACAUAGAUGAUAUAUUAUUAUACACCAAAACCAAAGAAGAACAUUUAAAAUUAUUAGAACAAUUCACAGAUAUAAUAGAAAAAUCAGGAAUAAGUCUAAGCAAAAAGAAAGCUGAAAUUAUGAAAAACCAGAUAGAAUUUUUAGGAAUACAAAUAGAUAAAAGUGGAGUAAAAAUGCAACAACAUAUAGUACAAAAAAUAAUAAAUUCGAAAGAAGAAUUAGAUACAAAAAAGAAAUUACAAUCAUUUUUAGGAUUAGUAAACCAAGUAAGAGAAUAUAUUCCAAAAUUAGCAGAAACCUUAAAACCACUGCAGAAAAAAUUAAAAAAGGAUAUAGAAUAUAAUUAUGAUGAAAAAGAUAAAAAACAAGUUCAAAAAAUAAAAUUACUUUGUAGAGAAUUACCAAAAUUGCAAUUUCCAGAUGAAAAUAGAAAAUUUAUAUAUAUAGUAGAAGCAGAUGCAAGUGAAUAUAGUUACGGAGGAGUACUUAAAUAUCGAUAUGAAGCAGAAAAAAUAGAACAUCAUUGUAGAUAUUACUCAGGUACGUUCAACGAAACAGAAAUAAAAUGGGAAAUAAAUAGAAAAGAGUUAUGUUCAUUAUAUAAGUGUUUAUUAUCAUUUGAGCCAUAUAUUGUAUAUAACAAAUUUAUUGUACGAACAGAUAAUACACAGGUACGCUGGUGGUUAACAAAGAAAAUACAAAAUUCAGUUACAACAAAAGAGAUUCGAAGACUAGUUUUAAAUAUAUUAAAUUUCACAUUUACAAUUGAAGUGAUCAGUACUAACAAAAAUGUUAUUGCAGAUUACAUAUCAAGACAAAGCUACACAGACUGAUAUAGUAGAGGAAGAUACUCUAGAAAAAAUACUUAACACCCUAACUACGCUUUCAAUGAAAGUGGACAGUAUGGGUAAUGAGAUAGAAAAGCUAAAGACUAAUGAAGGUAAACUGAAGUCUAUAGCUACAAAUCAGCUAACUCAGCAGUGUGCAGAGCUAUGUCGAUCGGAAGCCAUUAAAAAUCCAGAGCUAGAAGGAGACGUUGGGACACUCCAUAAAACCCAUAACAUUUAUCAAUCUACUUCUGCAGGUACAAGCAAAGGAGUUAAUAGACCAAGAUACCAAAAUGCAAAUAUGAAUAAAAUAUUCGAAAAACCAUUUACCCCUAAAACACAAAAAGACCAUUUAUUCAUACCCCCACAAGUUAAUACAUACCGAGACAGCCUAAACCAAGACAAGAAAAUAUACAACUACACAGCCCAAAAAUACAUAGAAAAUAUAUACAGAGUACAAACUUUUCUAAACCACAACCCCAGAGCUACAGAUAUCAAAGAACCAAAUACCAAUUAUAUAACCCAAAAAUUACAAGGAUACAACAAACUGAUAGCACUACCCAAAACUAACCCAAGCCUAGUUAAAACUUGUUUUGACUAUGGACUACUAAAUACCAUAUACACCCAAGACGGAGAAGAGUUAACAGCUAUGGAGGAAUUAUACAAGAUAUUUACUACCUAUAAAAGAAUAACAAAAGGAACUUUAUUUUAUAUAAAAUGUUAUACUGCACCAGCAGAGAUAUUAUAUGAUGAGAUAAAACCAGUGAUACAAGUUGUAAAGAUAGGACUGACAAGAGACAUGAUUAUACCGGAAGAUAUAUCGCGACAACCGGAGAUACCUAGAAUAGAGAUACCAGAUUUUUACGCAAAUAAAAGACUUAUUGGACUAGCUACGAUCAUACAAGAACUAGCAAAUAACUACGCUAACGGAAAUCCAAUAUGGAGCUACUAUUCAAGAGACCACCAAAUGAUAUAUUCAAAUUCGAAAGAACUAAGACAAGCAGAUAUGGAAGAUGUAAGACAGUGGAUAUUGACACUACUCAACCCAGAAAAACAAUCUACCGCACGAGCAAUAAAAAAGGGAUUUAUUUCAGACGGACUACUAACGAGAUACUGUAAGAUAAUUGGACAUAAAUAUCCAGACCACCAAUGUUCGAGGUGCAAUGGGGAAGAUAAUAUUAUUCCAGAGGUACAUUUAGAAUAAAGAAGAUAAAAUGCCAGCUGGAAGGAUAAAGAUAAAGAGCAAUAAUGGAGCAGAUACAGAGCAAUAAUGGAGCAGAUACAGAGCAAUAAUGGAGCAGAUACAGAGCAAUAAUGGAGCAGAUACAGAGCAAUAAUGGAGCAGAUACGACAAAAUCAACGGAGACAAGAUACUGUACAUUAAUUAAUUUGUUAGACUUUUUACGUAGAAAAAAUGUAUAUGUAAGCCACUAUUGUUGACUAUUUUUUUUCUUUAGUUUUAGAAAUUGUAAGUUAGAUACCUUUUUGACUUCUUAGGCUUAGUUUUAAUUGAGAAACUUUACGUAACUUAGAAUUUUAGGAAAAGUUAGAUGGGGAUAGGCCCACCUUCUUUAAUUUUCAUUACUUCUUAGGCACAGCAGAUAUGUAAAUUCAUUCUAUAAAUACAAAGGACGAGGGUAUUGCGAAAGGCAAGCCUUCUUUUGAAGCAAACCUUUCUCUCUCCAUUCCACAAAAAUUACUCAGUUAAUUAGAUAAAUAUACUCCAAUGGAAAAAGCUAUGGAACAACAGGAACAACAAAACUCAGAAACAUCAAAGCUACCGGAACAGGUAUAUCUAUUUAUAAUUAUGAAUAGCUAAUUUCAUAAUUCCCAACAAUCAUGAUAUGAUAAAAUAAUUCAUAUUAGUUACUUUAUAGUAGAAUUAUUCGAAGAAUAAUAUGUUAAGAAGUUUAUUAACAAAGAGGAAACGGAGAAAUAUCCCUAAGGACUAUGCCAUCCUAAAGGUGAAACCAAUGAGGCAAGAAGCCGUGGCGGGGAGUAACCAGAGUAGAGGCGCUGUUUAAGGGAAAAAGUAUCCGGAUUACCAUGUUAAUAGUGACGGAAGAACAUAUUAUUUAAGAAUAAUCUAGUAUAUAGUAAGCCAAUAUGACCAUAUUUUGUUGUGUACGUGAUUGAAGGGAAUAUUUUGAAAAAAGCAAAUUUAUGAAAAAUGAAUGAUAAUAUAUCUGAUGUGAUGGUAGAUAAAUUCAAGAUACUUAUUUUGUAUGCACUUAGAAAUAUAAAAGUAGCAGAUAUAAGAAAAAUCAUAUUAGAAAAAGCUUUUGGUGAAUAUUAUAUGACUAGAGUAAGUUAUAUACCAUAUCUACCUAACUACUCUUACAAAUAUUUACGAUGAUAAGUUACAUAAGAUUUUUAGAAAAAGAUAUAAAAAAUAUGCAGUUACUAGAAAAACAUAUAAAAAUAAAUAUAGAUAAAUACAUGGAAAACAAAGAUAUAAAAUUUCUUAAUAAAAAUAUGCAAAAACUACUAAGACUAAAACAAACAGCUACAAAACAAUUUUAAAAAUAGAUCAUUUAGAUUAUCUUAAAAUUUUAAUAUUAUAUAUACUUAAAAACAUAGAAAUUAUAGAUAUUAAGAAAAUAAUAUUAGAAAAAGUAAUAGAUUACGAAACUGAAACUAUAAAUUACCUAGAACAGUUAUACGAAGAAAUUUACCCAGAAGGAUAUUAUUCAGAUUAAGAUAUGUUAGAAUAUAUUAGACAAACUAGAGAAAAUCAAGAAAAUCUAAAUAAUGAAAUUAAUUAUAGAAACCGAAUUAGACAAAUAAUGAAAGACCUAAAAGAAAAAUUAAUAUGGAUAGAAAAAACCUUAGAAAAUUUAGAUAAAAGUACAUGUGAUAGUUUAUAUAAUUUAAAAAACUCACUACGAGAAGAACAACAUAAAAUAAUAAAUAACAUUGAAAAUCUAGAAUUAGAUAUAUAUUAUAGCACAGAUAGAAUAAAUUAUUAUACAAGAAUUUGUAACUCUGUAAUUACUACAGGAUAAAAUAAUUAAUGAAUAUAUCUUACGAAAAAAGUAAAUUAUUAAAAGAUAACAUCCACGCACUAAAUAAAAAUAGAUUCACUACAAAUAUGUACCAAAUCUAUUAUACCUAUUUAAUUAAAUCCCAUUUGUAGGGGGGUGCGCGGAUUUAAUAGGUAGGUAUAAUAGAUUUGGUACAUUUUGUAGUGAAUCUAUUUUUAUUUAGUGCGUGGAUGUUAUCUUUUAAUAAUUUACUUUUUUCGUAAGAUAUAUUCAUUAAUUAUUUUAUCCUGUAGUAAUUACAGAGUUACAAAUUCUUGUAUAAUAAUUUAUUCUAUCUGUGCUAUAAUAUAUAUCUAAUUCUAGAUUUUCAAUGUUAUUUAUUAUUUUGUGUUGUUCUUCUCGUAGUGAGUUUUUUAAAUUAUAUAAACUAUCACAUGUACUUUUAUCUAAAUUUUCUAAGGUUUUUUCUAUCCAUAUUAAUUUUUCUUUUAGGUCUUUCAUUAUUUGUCUAAUUCGGUUUCUAUAAUUAAUUUCAUUAUUUAGAUUUUCUUGAUUUUCUCUAGUUUGUCUAAUAUAUUCUAACAUUAAUUUGAAUAAUAUCCUUCUGGGUAAAUUUCUUCGUAUAACUGUUCUAGAUAAUUUAUAGUUUCAAUUUCGUAGUCUAUUACUUUUUCUAAUACUAUCUUCUUAAUAUCUAUAAUUUCUAUGUUUUUAAGUAUAUAUAAUAUUAAAAUUUUAAGAUAAUCUAAAUGAUCUAUUUUUUAAAAUUGGUUUUAUUAUAAUAUUCUGUAGUUGUUUGUUUUAGCCUUAGUAGUUUUUGCAUAUUUUUAUUAAGAAAUUCUAUGUAUUUUUUUUAUUAAGAAAUUUUAUAUCUUUAUUUUCCAUGUAUUUAUCUAUAUUUAUUUUUAUCUGUUUUUCUAGUAACUGCAUAUUUUCUAAAAAUUUUAUGUAACUUAUCAUCGUAAAUAUUUGUAAGAGUAGUUAGGUAGAUAUGGUAUAUAGCUUACUCUAGUCAUGUAAUAUUCACCAAAAGCUUUUUCUAAUAUGAUUUUUCUUAUAUCUGCUACUUUUAUAUUUCUAAGUGCAUACAAAAUAAGUAUUUUGAAUUUAUCUACCAUCACAUCAGAUAUAUUAUCAUUCAUUUUUCAUAAAAUUGCUUUUUUCAAAAUAUUCCCUUCAACCAUGUACAUAAAAUAUAGUCAUCUUAGCUUACUAUAUACUAGAUUAUUCUUAAAUAAUAUAUUCUUCCGUCACUAUUAACAUGGUAAUCCGGAUACUUUUUCCCUUAAACAGCGCCUCUACUCUGGUUACUCCCCGCCACGGCUUCUUGCCUCA